AGCCCGGGGCUCCUCCUCGACCUUCCUGCUGGAGAAGAGGCCCCCGGAGCGCUGCCCUCUGCCUGCCAUCCUCUCAUCACUCGGUACUUGACCAUCUCUGUGCCCACGGUGUCUGGCUCUAUGGCAGGGGACCAGAACAUGCCACCCCAAGUAUGCCUCUGGCAUAAGGAUUUUUGUGCUGAUUGUUUUUGAGAAACUGCAGACACAGGAGGAGCCUGCAAACAGCAUAAGUGACCCUUUUAUCGGGGGAAUUUACAUAGAAAGGGGGGUUAUGCCAGGAAUGCAGCUAUGCCCACACAUCACUUCACCUGACUCCUGUGCAUGGCAGGGCAGCCUUGUUUACCAUGAAUUUCUCUUCUGACCUUCCUGUCAUUGGGACGGAGGAGGGUAUUCCCAGCUAGGAUAACAGGACACGAUCGAAGCAACGUACAGCAAGCAGCGUGGAACCCAACGUGGUCUCCCUCUGAAAAAUAAGUUCAACUACACAUAAAGACGUAAAGGCUGGGAGUUCCAUGAACCAGUCAGCCGCAAAGGACUUCGGGAAAGCUGCAGGCCUUCCAGGCUUCUAUUCCUUCUAUUCCUCCCUCACUCAGCACAUCAGCCUCCCCUGACCACCCCCUUCACGCGAUCCUUGUAAGGAAGCACAACAAGAUUCUGAUGCACUUUGAAAUUUUAAUCAUGAAUGGAGAAUUAAAGAAUCUCGAGUCAGAGAAUGCCAUUCUUUGAGGAAUCUUACGGGCACCGGAGUAUUAACGUUCCCAUAAAUGAAUUCCCCCAACACACAGUUUUUGAUCAUCUGCCAGGCCCUCGGCUGGACAGGAGGAGCACUGCCCAGGGAGUUUACAGUCAAGUUGGGGAGACGGAAUGAGCACAAGUUAUAGCACAAGAACCAUGAUUACCUCCAGCUGUGAGACUGUGAGACUGUAAGGCAGACGGUGGCUUGAAGAGUGAGGCCUUGCAAAUGGGGAGCAAACACACCAAAAGAGGGAGCUAUUGAGAGAAGGCAGAGCUGGGAGAGAGAGGGGUGUGCCCAAGGAAAGGCAGGCCAUGAGGCUGUUAAUGCAAAGAACUGGAGGAGCGCCUGGAUGGCCCAGUCGGUUAAGCAUCCGAGUCUUGGUUUUGGCUGAGGUCAUGAUCUCACGGUCUGU